rnacentral:rRNA from 1 species
GAGUUGAUCCUGGCUCAGAUGAACGCUAGCGGAAGGCCUAAUACAUGCAAGUCGAGGGGUAACAGGGGAGCUUGCUCCCGCUGACGACCGGCGCACGGGUGAGUAACGCGUACGUAACCUGCCUUCAAGAGAGGGAUAGCCCCGGGAAACUGGGAUUAAUACCUCAUGGUGUCAUAAAGCCGCAUGGUUUAAUGAUUAAAGCUCCGGCGCUUGAAGAUGGGCGUGCGUUCUAUUAGAUAGUUGGUGAGGUAACGGCUCACCAAGUCAGCGAUAGAUAGGGGGCGUGAGAGCGUGGUCCCCCACACGGGUACUGAGACACGGACCCGACUCCUACGGGAGGCAGCAGUAAGGAAUAUUGGACAAUGGGCGCAAGCCUGAUCCAGCCAUUCCGCGUGCAGGAUGACGGCCCUCGGGGUUGUAAACUGCUUUUAUUUGGGAAGAAACCCUGGGAUUUAUCCCGGGCUGACGGUACCAAAAGAAUAAGCACCGGCUAAUUCCGUGCCAGCAGCCGCGGUAAUACGGAAGGUGCAAGCGUUAUCCGGAAUCACUGGGUUUAAAGGGUGCGUAGGCGGUUACGUCAGUCAGAAGUGAAGCUCACAGCUU